rnacentral:rRNA from 1 species
GAUGAACGCUAGCGGCAGGCCUAAUACAUGCAAGUCGAACGGGAUCCAGAUCAAAGCUUGCUUUGGUUUGGUGAGAGUGGCGCACGGGUGCGUAACGCGUGAGCAACCUACCCUUGUCAGGGGGAUAGCCCGGCGAAAGUCGGAUUAAUACCGCAUGACAUCAUUGAGAGGCAUCUUUCGAUGAUCAAAGAUUUAUCGGACAAGGAUGGGCUCGCGUGACAUUAGCUAGUUGGUAAGGUAACGGCUUACCAAGGCUACGAUGUCUAGGGGCUCUGAGAGGAGAAUCCCCGGCACUGGUACUGGGACACGGACCAGACGGCUACGGGAGGAAGCAGUAAGGAAUAAUGGUCAAUAGACGGAAGUCUGAACCAGCCAUGCCGCGUGCAGGAAGACGGCCCUAUGGGGUGUAAACUGCUUUUAUACGGGAACAAACGUCGGUACGUGUACCGGUCUGAGUGUACCGUAAGAAUAAGGAUCGGCUAACUCCGU